UACCCACGGAUAACAUACCGAAAGGUAUGCUAAUACGGGAUAAUAUAUUUGAGAGGCAUCUCUUAAAUAUCAAAGGUGAGCCAGUACAGGAUGGACCCGCGUCUGAUUAGCUAGUUGGUAAGGUAACGGCUUACCAAGGCAACGAUCAGUAGCCGACCUGAGAGGGUGAUCGGCCACAUUGGAACUGAGACACGGUCCAAACUCCUACGGGAGGCAGCAGUGGGGAAUAUUGCACAAUGGGCGAAAGCCUGAUGCAGCAACGCCGCGUGAGUGAUGAAGGCCUUCGGGUCGUAAAACUCUGUCCUCAAGGAAGAUAAUGACGGUACUUGAGGAGGAAGCCCCGGCUAACUACGUGCCAGCAGCCGCGGUAAUACGUAGGGGGCUAGCGUUAUCCGGAUUUACUGGGCGUAAAGGGUGCGUAGGCGGUCUUUCAAGUCAGGAGUGAAAGGCUACGGCUCAACCGUAGUAAGCUCUUGAAACUGGGAGACUUGAGUGCAGGAGAGGAGAGUGGAAUUCCUAGUGUAGCGGUGAAAUGCGUAGAUAUUAGGAGGAACACCAGUUGCGAAGGCGGCUCUCUGGACUGUAACUGACGCUGAGGCACGAAAGCGUGGGGAGCAAACAGGAUUAGAUACCCUGGUAGUCCACGCUGUAAACGAUGAGUACUAGGUGUCGGGGGUUACCCCCUUCGGUGCCGCAG
rnacentral:rRNA from 1 species